AUUGAACGCUGGCGGCAGGCCUAACACAUGAAGUCGAGCGGAUGACGGGAGCUUGCUCCUUGAUUCAGCGGCGGACGGGUGAGUAAUGCCUAGGAAUCUGCCUGGUAGUGGGGGACAACGUUUCGAAAGGAACGCUAAUACCGCAUACGUCCUACGGGAGAAAACAGGGGACCUUCGGGCCUUGCGCUAUCAGAUGAGCCUAGGUCGGAUUAGCUAGUUGGUGGGGUAAUGGCUCACCAAGGCGACGAUCCGUAACUGGUCUGAGAGGAUGAUCAGACACACUGGAACUGAGACACGGUACAGACUCCUACGGGAGGCAGCAGGGGGGAAUUUUGGACAAUGGGCGAAAGCCUUACCCAGCCAGGCCGCGUGUGUGAAGAAGGUCUUCGGAUUGUAAAGCACUUUAAGUUGGGAGGAAGGGCAGUAAGCUAAUACCUUGCUGUUUUAACGUUACCGACAGAAUAAGCACCGGCUAACUCUGUGCCAGCCGCCGCCGUAA
rnacentral:rRNA from 1 species